UUAAGGUCAUGAUUAAUUAAUCUCACAAAAAAUGAACUGUAUGAAAAUAAUUCUCUUAACAUUUUGUAUCAUUAGCAGAUGUGUUUAAAACAUUUUUUUUUGUCAUUUUACAAAAAAGUUUCUUGUAAAGAACAGCACAGUCAGCAGUUUUGUCUUCUUACAGAUCUUCUUGAGAAGAUAUCCAAUUCAGUAUGUUUUAAACUUCAUGCUGCCCCUUCUCUUCUUUGUGUGUCUGGACAUCGCCUCCUUCCUGCUGUCAGACACUGGGGGCGAGAAGAUUGGCUUCAAGGUCACUGUUCUACUGUCUGUGACUUUGAUGCAGAUUCUUCUCAAUGAAAUUCUGCCCCCUUCCACAGGAGAUGUUCCUCUUUUAGGUGAAGACAAUUUUGUUUUUUCUUGUUUGACGAGAGGAUGUAAACACAGGAUUCAUGUUGAUUUCACUGAUUCUGUCCCUCACAGUCUUCUUCUGCGUGUUGAUCUUUACCAUGAUGCUGCUAAGCCUUUUGGAAACCAUUUUUGUCAAGUAUUUAAUAGACAAAGACCAAACGUGUAAAGCCAAGAAAAAAGGAAACCAGAAACUAAAUGAGAAUCCAGAAGAAAAAUCAAGUCCACUCCAAUGCUGCUUUAUAGGAAUGAAGAAACCAAAUUGCUGUGCAUCAGCUGAAGAUUCCGAAGAAGACCAGUCUCUUCCUAAAGAGGAUAGCAGCGGCCCACAAUCUGAGACGUCUCUCAUAAUGGAAAAGGCCCUUGAAGAGCUUAGUGAAAUAAGGAAAUCCAUCUCUCUUCUUUGCAGCAGCACAGAAGAUGAGAAGCCCGGUUGUUGGUCCAGAGUGGCUGACAUAAUCAACAAAGUCUUUGCUGUUUCCUACAUUAUAGUGGUUAUUCUGUUUAUGAAGCUAUUUUUUGAGGAAUGGAUAUAUAAUUAUAAUUAUAUUUAAUGGUGUCUGUGGCAGACAUGAAAUCCUGUCCACCUUCAUUCACAUUUGUCAUGGGAUGGAUAACACGUCAUUGUAGGGCUUGGGUCAUCUGGACCCCAUAGAUAGCAUAAGAGUUAAGUAGAUGAUAGGCUGUUAGAAAUGCAUGUUGCCCAAGCACCAAGAUGUUGUAUAAAUAACUGCAAGAAGACAAUUUACACACAUAAAGUAAAAUAUAUCCACCUUGUCACAAAAAUGUUUAAAAAAAUUAAAGUUCCAAAGUGAUUUUCAGAGA